rnacentral:lncRNA from 1 species
UGCUGCACUCCACCUCAGCUCAUUUAGCCAGCAUUCUUACUUCCAGUCCUAUAGGUGGUUAAUCAUUCAACAAAAUUUCAGUCAUUUGUUCCCUGACAAGAAGCCUGCCUUGCGGUCAGAUGAUCUCCUGUGAAAUCAUGGCAAUGCAACCAUUAACAUCAUUAUAAACUCAGUAAUGGAAUAACUGCCUAUUUAUAAUCACUUGCUUCCUACUCGAUGCUGAAGAAGUCUCCUGGUGAGAUAGUUGUGAUAUCAAAAUUCACAACUUGGAUGCAGUCCCACAUUUGAUAGCUCAACUCAUCAAUCUCUUGAUAAAAAAUGAGCAGAGGGAGCUAUGCCAAUCAGGGUGCAGUUUGGAAAGGCAAUUUCAAGAAAGCCCUCAAAUGGAUGGGUGACAAAAACAAAACCCGGAAUUCCCUUCAUAAUAUAAUAGACAUGUAUUUUUAUUUUUUAUUUUUAUUUUUUUGUGGUUGGGGUUGGGGUUGGGGUUGGAGUUGGGGUGGGGAUGGGGGGCGCAGGGGAGUAGUGUGGGGUGUGGGUGGAUGUUGUAUUCAUAUUGCUGAUUAUCUUCACUGGCAUUUUAAAAAUUUGAUCUCAAAAGGUUGUUUCUUUAUACACCUGGGCAGAUGUAUUUAGAAAUGACUGCAAACUCCCGGGGCAGAUGCAAUAAUAUAUACCUCAUGUUAAGCAACGUACAUUCUUCGCAAUAUUAGGCAGUAUUGCCUUCUACCAAAGUAUUUCCAUACAUAACUCAGCUGUUAGUUAAUUCAUAGUGGAAUUCAUGAAUCAGACAUCCUUGCCCCAGCCAUGGCCAGCAUUUUGCUGUCACACUUGGCAUCAUUAAACCAAUAUACGAACAGCUUCUAUGAGGCAGUGUAAUUCUCAAACUAAUGCCAUAUACACCAUUAAACAAGAUAAUUGUGUAGUUCACUGUUUACCAUACCAAACUCACAAAAUAUAUGUUCAACUCUAAGUAUCCCAUUUACCUCUCCUGUGAUGCGGUUAGUCUGCCAACAAACCAGGUUAAUCAGUCUACUUUCCUCUAGCUUUCUCUAGAUCAGGCAGAUCUGCAAUCAAACAAACAGGUUUCAGAAACUGCAGGUUGUAGCAUGAUCCUAAAUGUCCUUUCAAAUGCAAUUGCUUGUGCACAACCGUGAAGCCAUGGAUGGAUUAUGUAGCCUAUGCAAACAAGGUAUACCAUGCAAACCUAAACCAAAUGCCAGCAAAUCAGUACUGACAACUGGAGGCUGCACAAAAGAUAGUUAAAGUUGCACAUUCCAAGUAACUUUUCACCUUAAUGGCACCAAAGCUAUGGAAAUCCUCAGCAGAAAAAACAGCAUACCCCAAAGGGCCACCUAACAAUGAAAAGAAAGGCAUUGACUAGAAAUGUUCUUACAGAGUAAUCCAUCAUCACUGCUUUCAUCAUCUCUGCCAUUUACCUGAACAAGUUAGGGAGAGAUAAAGAGUCACACAUUAUCAUGAGAAAAAAAUAAAAGAAAAAAAAAGGAAAAAGGAUGGAGUAACCAUACCCCAUUGUCGUCGUCAUCAGAAGGAAGCCAGUCGGCUGUAAAAGUAUGAUAGUCAGACAUGAUAUGAAACUGAAGAGGAAAAAAGAGAACAUACAGGAACACAGGAUCAAAAGAGUAGAAGCUAAUGGAUUCUGAGCAACAUUUUGGCAUAUUGCCCAUCGAUUCAUAAAUCAAUUAUCCAACCCAAGAUACAUAAACAGCAAGUAACCACUGCAUCCAGAGAGAACACAAAGCUCCUACCACCGCAAAGUCUAGGGAGGGUCCGAUAUAUGCAGCCUUCCCCUCACAUGUGAAGAGGCUGUUUCCAGGUUCGAAACCACUAACAUAAAGGUCAUAAUAGAGCAACCUUACCACUGUACCUAGGCCUGCCAUCUAGAGAACAUGAACAUGUUGUAGACUUAACAUCUAGCUAAGCCAGUCAUAGACAAAGCAUGUCUAGUAAACUUUCAACAAGGAUUGUUAAUGCUGGCAUUGGAUGAAAAUUUCCUCUAAUCACCACCAAAUAGCAAAAAUCUAAAGAGAACCUCUUCAAAUAUGGCAAAUGAAGAAAACUGCUGAACUCCAAUUGAUCCUUUCAGUAAGAAUCUUGGACAUCAAAAAGAGGUGAAGAUAAGUUAGCAACAAUGUUUUAGGAGACAAAGUAUGCUCCACAAGAGAGGGUAAAAGACCUGUGGGUAACUCGAGUGAAGUGGUUAAGGUUUGCUUGGACAAAUAAAUCGUUUGCAGAAAUGCCUGAUAUACAAAGCACCUUUAAAUCAGAGACGAAGGUGAAAAAUCAAUGAUAGCAGAAAGAUGAUGGUGAAAUAACAGGAUUUGGGCAGCAGACAUGUAAAAUUCAUAUCAUAUAUCUAAAGUAAGAAGUUUGUACAUAUAACAGUCAUUUUUAACAAGGACUUUUUUCUGCAAUUGGAAGGGCUUAAGACUUUUCGAAAGAAACAAAUCAGACACCAUAAAGCUUCACAAUCCUUAGGAUUUCUCCAGAGCAGGGGAAAAAUGGACAGAGCAACAUUCAUUUACAAGCUACAAAGCUUGCUGGAGCUGACAUUAGAGAGUCCACGGAAACAACCAUAACAUUCUUUCAUCAUUAUAGAUGCAUGCCUGUGUGUAUAUGUAGCUAGACGACUCUCGGUCGAAAGAGGGUACGUCCUCACAAUUCUCUUAUGAGUACAAGACCAAGCUAGUCAAUCAAAUUCCAUCUGUUUUCUUUAGAAUAAAUUCCAUUGGCUUUCCUUUUUAGGAAAAGAACUAAAGCAGCUCUAGUUGAUUGACCUAUUCCCUCUACCUUGCCAUAGACCAACACGACCCUGAACUUGUCUCACAUCAACUGAGACCACCUAUGACACACCUGACCCAGAACUACCUCCCCCUCCUCCCCUAUGUCUGAUCAAACUUCUAAGUGAAUGGAAAUGCUAGAGUACAAUGGAUGAGAGGCAAGCGGUGGUAGGAUGUUGCAACAGGGAAGGAAGCAAAAGACAAAGGACUGGGUUUAUCUGAUUGGGUUGGCAACUCUAAUUCAAGAUCCAAUGGGACAACAGAUUCGGUUGGAUUAGUUCAGAUACAAGUUCAUCACACACUUUUGAGGCUAGGCCAGGUUUGGGUUAGGAUUGGAGAAAAUUUCAAGUUAAAGAAUCAUCUACAUAUCAAUAAUCAUUAAUUAGAUUUUGCCAUAAUCCUCAUGUAGGUAUAAACACAUAUUUGUUAUAACUAGCUAUCUUAGACAAAUCAGUUAGGCUGCAGUUGGUAGAAGGGAUAAGUUGUGGAAGGAUAUCCCUUGUGUUAUAGAAUGGUCAGGCUAUUCCGUGGGAUAAGUCCAUUUUUGGCACUUGGAGGGAUAAGUAGAGGGAAAUAAAUGAGUGCAUCAAUUUUUGAAAUGAUGUGGAUUUUAUCAUGGAUUUUAUCACAAUGAUCACAUUGCCCUUUCACUUUUUGGAGCAAUCAAAGAGUAGAUGAGGACAAAAUAAUUACCAGAGGGGAUAAGUUUCCCAUAUUCCUCAAAAGGAAACUCCAUUCCACCAUUAUCCAUUCUCUCUCUUACUUACUACACUAAUCCAUAUUAGCCAAUUCCAGGGUGCUUUUGGGGUGUUUGGUAUGAUAUUCACCCCAAUGGGGGAUAUCACCGCACUUAUCCCUUCCACAAAAUGAUGCAACCUUAGAGUAUUUUUUGCAUAAUCAAUAUCUUGGCUUAAUAUCACUCAGAAAUAUACAUGUAAGUAGGCUUGAAUUGAGGGGAUAUCUAACCAUCUUGGUCCAUAUAUAUUACUAGGGGUUGGGUUGGGUCAUCUUAGGUCAAGAAAUUGGAGUAUCCAAGCUUGAUCCUAGAUUCAAAUGAAGUCUAGAUAUGGGCCCAACCUAUACUCACCUAGGUUCUCACCCAAAAGGGCUAGUCAUAAGGUUAUCAAUAGGGUCUUAGGCCUUGCUUAAGUACCCAAUGCCUCCCAACAAACACUUGAUGUAGGAUCAAACUCACACAGAUCCACACACUCUCUCCUUUUAAAACCCUAGCAUCCCACCAAGGGAAGGGUCCAAUCACAAACAUUACGACUAGUUUGUGGUCAAUCAAUCCAAAAAAGGCUUGUGCCACAGUGUCCCCUAGCUAUAUAUGAUGCUAGCUAUGGAGACUUCAAUACCAUUUGGAAUUUGGGAGCUCACCCAAAAGGGCUACUAAUAAGGUUAUUAUUUGGGGUCCUUGGACCUACUACCCAAGACCAUGCCAACAUAUACCUUGAUAUGAGUCCUCACAAAACGCAACCUUAGGGUGGAUCGACUAUCCCACCAUAUCAAGGAGACUCAAUCCAUUGGCAAUCCCACUGGUAAGAGACAGUAGGCAAGGAGGAAGUGGGACAAGGUAGGUUGAAGGUGAAAGGAGGGGCGAAUUAGUAAUGCAGGACAGCCCUAGAAAAUAAUAUGCUAAAAGAUAAUAAGCAAAUCAAUGAAACUCCAAGCAAUCAUAAUGAGGGGGAAAAACCUCAAUAAAAGCACCAUAUAAGCAAUCUAAAGACUAGUAACAUGUGUGUAAUUAGGGUUUAACUAAUAUUCAUUCAUAUGUUGUAACCAGGGUUCACCUUGUAGAAAAUAGAUAUGAUCUUGUAUUGAAAAAAAAAUCUUAUUAUCAAAUUUAAUGUUUAUUGUGACUGCUAGGAGGUUAUAGGACGAAUUAUAUAUCCUAAAUGUACUUUCAUCAAUAGGUUGUAGUGAUGUGUACGUGACUGAUAGCAUGGUGACUAGGAAACAGGACAAUCUAGUUAAUUCCAUUUAUCUAUGGCAUGCUAGGCUACAUUAUGUUAGUCAUGAGAGGAUCCAGUGGUUGGUUAAUGAUCAAUCAUUGAGUUUUUUAAAUGCUCAACCCUAUCUAACAUGUAGAUCAUAUCUUCCAGGCAACAUGACUAGCCUGCCCUAUCCAAAUAAGAAGAGCAUGUCAAAGAACCAUUGGAGUUUGUUCACUCUGAUUUAUGUAGACCACUAAGUGUGGCAGCCAGAGGUGGAUGAGUACUCCAUCACCUUUAUUGAUGAUUACUCAAGGUAGAGUAUGAUCUAAUUGAUGCACCAUGAGUCUGAAUCCUUUGAAAGGUUCAAAGAGUAUUUAGUGGAAGAGAGCCCUUGUAGGCAAAUCAAAACUCCACAUUCAGAUCGAGGAGGAAAAUAUCUCCAAUGAGCUUCUUAGCUAUAUGAGAGUUAGUAUGAUUGUCUCUCAUUAGACUGUGUCCUCAGCAAACUUAGAAAGCUAAGAGCCAAAAUUGAACCUCAAUGGAUGAGUCAUGUAAGGUUGCCUAUGUUUCUUUAGGGAUAUGCACUUCAAAGUGCAGUGCAUAAACUAAACUACAUUCUAACUAAAUUAGUAAGGCUUACUCCAUAUGAGAUGUGAAAAGGAAAGCGUAUUUUGAUUCACUUAGGAGACUGGGGUUGCCCACAUAAUCCCCACAAGUUGGAAGCCAAGAUGAUUAUGUUACUUGAUAGGAUAUCCCGAAGAGAUGACGGGAUUUACUUCUACAAUAAAGAGGACUAAAAAAAUCUUUGUGAGUAGAAAUGCUGCAUUCCUAGAAGAGGAUAUAAUCUUUUUUUGACUCAAGGUCCUGGGAUGUAGACUUGGAAGAAAGAAGAGAUGAUGUGCCUCAAGCUUAAUAGAAUGUUUCUCCUUCAAACGAUCCGGUUCCUAUGAGAACAAGCUAGAAAAUGAGGCAAACACUUGAGUGCUUCACCUAACAAGGUGAGAUUUUUGUAACAACUCUUGCCAGCAAGGAUGCAUAUCCUCGCAAUUUUGAGGCACUCUCUAAUGUGAAUUCCUCUAAAUGGAAAGAACCCAUGGAGUCAGAAACAAAUUCCACAAAGGCCAAUAGCAUCUGGACACUUGUCAAUCCACCUGAAAAGGUAAAAAUCAUUAGAUGCAAGUGGAUCAUCAAAAGGAAAGAGGCACAAUGGGAAGGCUGAAACCUUCGAGGCUCAUCUGAUAGUGAAAGGUUAUACUCAAAUAAAUGUUGUGGAUUAUGUAGAAAUCUGUUCAUCCAUAGCCAUUAUGAAGUCCAUCCUUUUUGGCCAUAGCAGCUUACUAUGAUUGUGACAUCAGGCAAAUGGACGUCAAUAUUAUAUUUUUCUUAGCAAAAAUUUGUAGGAAGGUAUAUAUAUGGUUCAGUCAGAGGGAUUUAUCUCUUUAGGGAAAGAAAAUAUGAUGUGUAAGCUGGUCAGAUCGAUUUAUGGCCUCAAAACAAACCUCCAAUAGCUGGUCUUAAUCAAUCGAUCAAGAAAUACAGGUUUGAACAAAACCUAGAGGUGUCCUGAGUCUACAGCAAGGUUAAGAGACCUAUGUGGAUGACAUUCUCCUCAUGAGGAACUAUAGAUCCAGUACAUAUGCAAUACAGCUGUGGUUGUCUCAUCAAUUCUCCAUGAAAGACCUAGGACGGACUAGCUAUCUGGAAGUUGCUAUGGGAUAGGCUGAACAAGUGAUUGGGCUCAACCAAGCCUCUUACAUAGAAAAAUUCUGGUCAGAUUAAGCAUGGAUCUAGCUAGGCCAUGGUCUUACCCUUUAAGUACAACAUUCAUCUUUCAGAUGAUAUGAGGCCCAAGACAAAGGAAGAGAUCCAGAUGAUGGCUAGCACUCCUUAUAGGCUUCAAUAGUAGGAGGUCGAAUUCAUGUCAUCUUGUGUAUUAGGCCACACAUAUACUACAUCAUUGGACUAAUAUCCAGAUACCAAAGCAACCUAAGGAAAAAAUACUAGGAAGCAGUCUAGCAUACUAUGAAGUACUAAGGAUUAUGUGGUUGUGUAAUAUGAUGGCAACUUGGAGAUGGUGAUAUAUACAGAUGCCGACUUCUAGUCAGACCAACACAAUCAUGCCUCCACUUUAGGGGGACACAUUUACCAUCAAAAAUGAAACUAUGUAGGCAUAGCAUGAAGCAAAAAAUGCAUCGCAAUCUAUGACUGAGGCGCAGAGUAUUGCUACAUCAAAUGUAGAAAAGAAGCUGUAUGGCUAAGAAAAUUCAUACUUGAGCUAAAAGUCAGCCUUCCACACAAUGACCCAUUUCCUUACAUUGUGACAACAAAGAGGCCCUAGCUUAGAGCAUGAAGCUGAGAUCGCAUCAUACGAUGAAGCAUGUUGAAUACAAGUACCACAUAAUUAAGGAUACAAUACAUGCAAGAACAAGAAGAUGCAGGUUUUAUCCAUUACUUCAGCUAGAAAUGUGGCUGAUCCACUAACCAAGCCCCUUACUAGAAGGCCUUCACUCAUGUAGAUAUGAUGAAAUAUAUUCUCAAAUGGCUCCAAGUGCAAGUGAGAAAUUAUUAGAAUAGUAUAAGCCAUAAUAGCCAUUUGCAUGUUGUUGCCGCUGAAAUCUGAAUCGCGGUCGGCUGGAGUUGGAGUGGUGGCACGUCCUCCCGGCAGAAAAC